CGUCUUACGUGACAGUAUCUAGA
rnacentral:miRNA from 10 species